rnacentral:rRNA from 1 species
GACAGAGGUCUCAAGCGUUAGGCGGAAUCACUGGGCUUAAAGCGUGUGUAGGUGGAUUUCUAAGUGCCUUGUGAAAUCCCACGGCUUAACCGUGGAACUGCUGGGCAUACUGGGAGUCUUGAGCCAUCUAGGGGCGACUGGAACAAACGGUGGAGCGGUGAAAUGCGUAGAUAUCGUUCGGAACGCCAAAGGCGAAAGCAGGUCGCUGGGGAUGAGCUGACACUGAGACACGAAAGCCAGGGGAGCAAACGGG